UAAGGAAUAUUGCGCAAUGGGGGAAACCCUGACGCAGCAACGCCGCGUGGAGGAUGACACUUUUCGGAGCGUAAACUCCUUUUAUCAGGAAAGAAUAAUGACGGUACCUGAUGAAUAAGCACCGGCUAACUCCGUGCCAGCAGCCGCGGUAAUACGGGGGGUGCAAGCGUUACUCGGAAUCACUGGGCGAAAAGGACGCGUAGGCGGAUUAUCAAGUCUUUUGUGAAAUCUAGUGGCUUAACCACUAAACUGCUUAGGAAACUGAUAGUCUAGAGUAGGGGAGAGGUAGAUGGAAUUCUUGGUGUAGGGGUAAAAUCCGUAGAGAUCAAGAAGAAUACCCAUUGCGAAAGCGAUCUGCUGGAACCUAACUGACGCUGAGGCGUGAAAGCGUGGGUAGCAAACAGG
rnacentral:rRNA from 1 species